GGGCACUCUAGGAGAACUGCCGGUGAUAAGCCGGAGGAAGGUGUGGAUGACGUCAAGUCCUCAUGGCCCUUACGGGUUGGGCUACACACGUGCUACAAUGGUGGUGACAAUGGGUUAAUCCCAAAAAGCCAUCUCAGUUCUGAUUGGUGUCUGCAACUCGACCCCAUGAAGUCGGAAUCGCUAGUAAUCGCGUAACAGCAUGACGCGGUGAAUACGUUCCCGGGCCUUGUACACACCGCCCGUCACACCAUGGGAAUUGGAUCUACCCGACGACGGUGCGCCAACCUCGCAAGAGGAAGCAGCCGGCCACGGUAGGUUCAGUGACUGGGGUGAAGUCGUAACAAGGUAGCCGUAGGGGAACCUGCGGCUGGAUCACCUCCUUU
rnacentral:rRNA from 1 species